AUUGAACGCUGGCGGCAGGCUUAACACAUGCAAGUCGAGCGGGGGAAGGUAGCUUGCUACCGGACCUAGCGGCGGACGAGUGAGUAAUGCUUAGGAAUCUGCCUAUUAGUGGGGGACAACAUCUCGAAAGGGAUGCUAAUACCGCAUACGUCCUACGGGAGAAAGCAGGGGAUCUUCGGACCUUGCGCUAAUAGAUGAGCCUAAGUCGGAUUAGCUAGUUGGUGGGGUAAAGGCCUACCAAGGCGACGAUCUGUAGCGGGUCUGAGAGGAUGAUCCGCCACACUGGGACUGAGACACGGCCCAGACUCCUACGGGAGGCAGCAGUGGGGAAUAUUGGACAAUGGGGGCAACCCUGAUCCAGCCAUGCCGCGUGUGUGAAGAAGGCCUUAUGGUUGUAAAGCACUUUAAGCGAGGAGGAGGCUACUCUAGUUAAUACCUAGGGAUAGUGGACGUUACUCGCAGAAUAAGCACCGGCUAACUCUGUGCCAGCAGCCGCGGUAA
rnacentral:rRNA from 1 species